CAGAACGACGCUGGCGGCGCGUUUAAGCAUGCAAGUCGAGCGGCAAGGGCCUUCGGGCCCCUAGAGCGGCGGACGGGUGAGUAACACGUGGACAAUCUCGGCCCCCCGGCCCGGGAUAGCCCAGGGAAACCUGGAUUAAUACCGGAUGAGACGGGACCCGCGAUGGCGGGAUCCGGGAAAGGCGCUGCGGCGCCGCCGGGGGAUGAGUCUGCGUCCCAUUAGCUAGACGGCGGGGUAACGGCCCACCGUGGCGACGAUGGGUAGCCGGCCUGAGAGGGUGGACGGCCACAUUGGAACUGAGACACGGUCCAGACUCCUACGGGAGGCAGCAGCUAAGAACCUUCCGCAAUGGGCGAAAGCCUGACGGAGCGACGCCCGCGUGAACGAAGAAGGCCGUGAGGUUGUAAAGUUCUUUUCGGGAGGGGGAACAACCGUGGCAGGGAAUGGCCGCGGGAUGACGUGAAUCCCGGAAUAAGCCCCGGCUAACUACGUGCCAGCCGCUGC
rnacentral:rRNA from 1 species